rnacentral:rRNA from 1 species
GACGAACGCUGGCGGCGUGCCUAAUACAUGCAAGUAGAACGCAGUUGCGAACGGGAGAGUAACGCGUAGGUAACUGCCUGGUAGCGGGGGCUAAGUAUUGGAAACGAUAGCUAAUACCGCAUACUACCAGAUGGACCUGCGUUGUAUUAGCUAGUUGGUGAGGUAACGGCUCACCAAGGCAACGUUGCAUAGCCGCCCUUGGAGGGUGAGCGGCCAAACUGGGACUGGGGCACGGCCCAGACUCCUGCGGGAGGCAGCAGUAGGGAAUCUUCGGGAAUGGGGGGAACGCGGACCGAGCAACGCCGGGGGAGUGAAGAAGGUGUUCGGGUCGUAAAGCUCUGUUGUUAUGGGAGCGGUACUUAACGAGAAAGCGACGGCUAACUACGUGCCAGCAGCCGCGGUAAUAC